rnacentral:rRNA from 1 species
UACGUAGGGUGCAAGCGUUGUCCGGAAUUAUUGGGCGUAAAGAGCUCGUAGGCGGCUUGUCGCGUCGGCUGUGAAAACUCGGGGCUCAACCCCGAGCCUGCAGUCGAUACGGGCAGGCUGGAGUCCGGCAGGGGAGACUGGAAUUCCUGGUGUAGCGGUGAAAUGCGCAGAUAUCAGGAGGAACACCGGUGGCGAAGGCGGGUCUCUGGGCCGGAACUGACGCUAAGGAGCGAAAGCGUGGGGAGCAAACAGG